AGUGAACGCUGGCGGUAGGCCUAACACAUGCAAGUCGAACGGCAGCACAGGAGAGCUUGCUCUCUGGGUGGCGAGUGGCGGACGGGUGAGGAAUACAUCGGAAUCUACUUUUUCGUGGGGGAUAACGUAGGGAAACUUACGCUAAUACCGCAUACGACCUACGGGUGAAAGCAGGGGACCUUCGGGCCUUGCGCGAUUGAAUGAGCCGAUGUCGGAUUAGCUAGUUGGCGGGGUCAAGGCCCACCAAGGCGACGAUCCGUAGCUGGUCUGAGAGGAUCAUCAGCCACACUAGAACUGAGACACGGUCCAGACUCCUACGGGGGGCAGCAGUGGGGAAUAUUUGACAAUGGGCGCAAGCCUGAUCCAGCCAUACCGCGUGGGUGAAGAAGGCCUUCGGGUUGUAAAGCCCUUUUGUUGGGAAAGAAAUCCAGCUGGCUAAUACCCGGUUGGGAUGACGGUACCCAAAGAAUAAGCACCGGCUAACUUCGUGCCAGCCGCCGCAGUAA
rnacentral:rRNA from 1 species